AUUAAUAAGCGGAGGAAAAGAAACUAACAAGGAUUCCCUCAGUAACGGCGAGUGAAGCGGGAAGAGCCCAGCACCGAAUCCCCCGCUCAGACGGGUGGCGGGAACUGUGGUGUUAAGGACAGCCUAUGGGGAUCGUUCGGGAGUCCGAGUCCUCCUGAUCGGGGCUUCACCCAGAGCGGGUGUCAGGCCUCUACGGCGCCCGGCCGGUCCUCUCAGGUCGUCCUAGGAGUCGGGUUGUUUGAGAUUGCAGCCCAAAGCGGGUGGUAAACUCCAUCUAAGGCUAAAUACAGACACGAGUCCGAUAGCGCACAAGUACCGUGAGGGAAAGUU
rnacentral:rRNA from 1 species